rfam:Micromonas sp. RCC299 mitochondrion, complete genome.
GUGCUCGUAGCUCAAUGGAUAGAGUGCCGAACUACGGAUUCGGAAGUUGAGAGUUCGAAUCUUUCCGAGCAUG